rnacentral:lncRNA from 1 species
GGUAGGAUGUGGCUGGAGGAGGUGAGAAUUAGGGGUGUGACUUUGGAGUAUGUAUUUUUGUCUGGCAAAUGGAGGCAUCUCUGCUUUCUGAUCAUCAUGUGAGCUGCUUCCCUCUGCCACAGUCUUCCGCCAUGAUAUUCUGCCUCACCUGGAGCCCCAAGAAAUGGAGCCGACCUUCUAUGGACUAAGACCUCUGAAACUGUGAGCCCCUCAAAUAAACUUUUCUUCCCUAA